UUCAUCCAUUAGCCUCUCGGUUUCUGUUCUUGUUUGUAUUGAAAACUCAUUUAAAGUUCAUAUUUGUUUCAGGUACAAUCACAAGCAAGAGACGACCCGGCCGGUACCAUCCAUUCGAGGCAAGGCUGAACCGCGGAACGGCCAUCCGUCCGUCCGUUCGACCAUCCGACCCGUGCCUACAACAUUUUGGUAUCAGAGCUGAAGUUUCCUGCAAAACUCAGUUCUCUCUGAACCGUAGCCGUCGCAUUUAAAAAAAUAUAUAUUUACUUUCCUUAUUUUUCAAAUUUUCGGAUUGUUCUCCAAGUUUUCGAUUUUGCAUUUUAAAAAAAAAAUAUUAAAGUAGUUUUACUUUCUUUCCAAGUUUUCGAAAACCAAAAAAAAAAAAUAUUCCCUCUUUCCUUUUUCAAACUUGAUUCGAUUUUAUCUUAAAUUUUUGCAUUUACUCAUGUAUCUGACCCAAGCAACUAUUUAACCCCCCCUCUUGCCUUUAAUCUUUCUUUGAGUAUCUUUUCAGAUAACUAUGGGAGAUGUAGGUCAAGACCAAGCGGCCAUAAACGCUCAGCUCCUAGCUGACAAUGAAGAACUGAGGGCGAGCCUUAGGGCUAUCACCGCCGAGCUUACUCAGCUACGGCAGGGAGGCAGGCCCAACAGACCUCGACCACCAGGAAGGAAUCAGCCGGAUCCGCAUGACACUGACUCGGACGCGGACAGUACCGAUGAUACGCGCAGUCAGGACGAGGAGAGGCCAAACCGGGGAGGUAGGAGGAACGCGCGAGGACCCCGGGCCCAAAGGAGGAGGCCGUGACCAUAGAGGAGGUCGAGACCGAGAGAAGGAAGAGCCCUGGUUGGGAGGCAAGGCGCUUAA
rnacentral:lncRNA from 1 species